AAUCUAUGACUAAUGAUGUUUUUUUUUUUUGAGGAAAAGAUAGUAUGAUACCCGCUUCGUUUAUUCGGAAGAUGAACUAAGCUACAAGGAUGAGACAUCACAGGCCUCGUUUGUGGCUAAACAAACGGCGAAAAAAAAAAGAAAAAGCUAUUACAUUGGUGUCUCCUCUCCACUGAGCUAAGUUUCUCCCACUAAUUCAUCAGCUGUUUAAUCGUGUAGAUUCCAAAACUUGGGUCUGUUUGGAUCAUCCGAAAGAUCGCACUAUUUCUGGUCUCCCAAAUGACCCACUAAUAAUGUUGAGAAUUCAAGUUGUUUGAGAACAACGGCUUCAAAGUUUGAAUAAGUACAUUCACUAGAGCAUGCCCAUCGUACCUAGCGCAAUUUGCUAAGAAUUUGAUAAAUGAUGCAUAAAGUCUAAAGUUCGAAAUUUAGUUACUUUACGUUUCGAGCUAAGUUAAUUUCUAUAAAACAAACAAAAUACAGAACGAACGAAAUAGACAGCUU
rnacentral:lncRNA from 1 species